GAUGAACGCUAGCUACAGGCUUAACACAUGCAAGUCGAGGGGUAACAUUGGCUGAGCUUGCUCAGCCAGAUGACGACCGGCGCACGGGUGAGUAACGCGUAUCCAACCUGCCCAUGGGUCAGGGAUAACCUUCCGAAAGGGAGCCUAAUACCUGAUGCGGUGAGAAGAAGGCCUCUGAUUUUCACGAAAGACUUCGGUCGCCGAUGGAUGGGGAUGCGUACGAUUAGGCAGCAGGCGGGGUAACGGCCCACCAAGCCGACGAUCAGUAGGGGUUCUGAGAGGAAGGUCCCCCACAUUGGAACUGAGACACGGUCCAAACUCC
rnacentral:rRNA from 1 species